UGAAGUAGUUUAAAAAAAAGGAAUAAUACUUACAAGCAAAUAUUUGUAAAAUGAUGUACACUGACAUGAUG